rnacentral:rRNA from 1 species
GCACAAGCGGUGGAUGAUGUGGUUUAAUUCGAUGCAACGCGAAAACCUUACCCACCUUUGACAUGGCAGGAAUCCCGAAGAGAUUGGGAGUGCUCGAAAGAGAACCUGCACACAGGUGCUGCAUGGCUGUCGUCAGCUCGUGUCGUGAGAUGUUGGGUUAAGUCCCGCAACGAGCGCAACCCUUGCCAUUAGUUGCUACGAAAGGGCACUCUAAUGGGACUGCCGGUGACAAACCGGAGGAAGGUGGGGAUGACGUCAAGUCCUCAUGGCCCUUAUAGGUGGGGCUACACACGUCAUACAAUGGCCGGUACAGAGGGUAGCCAACCCGCGAGGGGGAGCCAAUCCCACAAAGCCGGUCGUAGUCCGGAUCGCAGUCUGCAACUCGACUGCGUGAAGUCGGAAUCGCUAGUAAUCGCGGAUCAGCAUGUCGCGGUGAAUACGUUCCCGGGCCUU